rnacentral:rRNA from 1 species
GCAGUGGGAGCACCCUUCGGGGUGUGACUGCGUACCUUUUGUAUAAUGGGUCAGCGACUUAUAUUCUGUAGCAAGGUUAACCGAAUAGGGGAGCCGGAGGGAAACCGAGUCUUAAUUGGGCGUUAAGUUGCAGGGUAUAGACCCGAAACCCGGUGAUCUAGCCAUGGGCAGGUUGAAGGUUGGGUAACACUAACUGGAGGACCGAACCGACUAAUGUUGAAAAAUUAGCGGAUGACCUGUGGCUGGGGGUGAAAGGCCAAUCAAACCGGGAGAUAGCUGGUUCUCCCCGAAAGCUAUUUAGGUAGCGCCUCGUGAAUUCAUCUCCGGGGGUAGAGCACUGUUUCGGCUAGGGGGCCAUCCCGGCUUACCAACCCGAUGCAAACUGCGAAUACCGGAGAAUGUUAUCACGGGAGACACACGGCGGGUGCUAACGUCCGUCGUGAAGAGGGAAACAACCCAGACCGCCAGCUAAGGUCCCAAAGUCAUGGUUAAGUGGGAAACGAUGUGGGAAGGCCCAGACAGCCAGGAUGUUGGCUUAGAAGCAGCCAUCAUUUAAAGAAAGCGUAAUAGCUCACUGGUCGAGUCGGCCUGCGCGGAAGAUGUAACGGGGCUAAACCAUG